rnacentral:rRNA from 1 species
AUUGAACGCUGGCGGCAUGCCUUACACAUGCAAGUCGAACGGUAACAGGUCUUCGGAUGCUGACGAGUGGCGCACGGGUGAGUAAUACAUCGGAACGUGCCCGAUCGUGGGGGAUAACGAAGCGAAAGCUUUGCUAAUACCGCAUAAGAUCUACGGAUGAAAGCAGGGGACCGCAAGGCCUUGCGCGAACGGAGCGGCCGAUGGCAGAUUAGGUAGUUGGUGGGAUAAAAGCUUACCAAGCCGACGAUCUGUAGCUGGUCUGAGAGGACGACCAGCCACACUGGGACUGAGACACGGCCCAGACUCCUACGGGAGGCAGCAGUGGGGAAUUUUGGACAAUGGGCGAAAGCCUGAUCCAGCCAUGCCGCGUGCAGGAUGAAGGCCUCCGGGUUGUAAACUGCUUUUGUACGGAACGAAAAGACUCUGGUUAAUACCUGGGGUCCAUGACGGUACCGUAAGAAUAAGCACCGGCUAACUACGUG